rnacentral:tRNA from 1 species
GCCGGAGUGGCGGAACUGGCAGACGCAAGGGACUUAAAAUCCCUCGCACGGCAACGUGCGUGCGGGUUCGACCCCCGCCUCCGGCACCA